GGAUGAUGACUCUGGAGCCCCCUGAUCUGUGAAGAGGUUUCGCGGGGCUGACC
rnacentral:ncRNA from 15 species